UACAGAGGGCUGGACAGUGGUUUCAUUCAUUAGGUAAAGAGGUGGGACAAUGAUGCUGACAGGACAGGAGGAGGUGACAUUCAGACAUUCAACGCAGACAUUUUCAUCCAAAGCAACUUGAGGAAGAAAACAGAAGCAGUUCAUCCUAAAAAGUGGGCUGCUGUAAUGUUUACAUCUAUGGAAAGAGGAGCCGAGAAGAAAAGAGACACUGGAAAGCAGUACUUCUUGUUGAGGACAAUCCUGAAUAGGAAAACUUUCUCAUACACAUAGAUUAUUAUUAGUGUUUGAUUUUUUUUCUUUAUGAAUUGUAUUGUUUUAAUUUUUCGUUUUAUUUGAAAUUACCUAAGUUAGAUUCAUGCUAAUACUUUAACUGGACCUUGUAUCUUUGCUGGCUGGCUGUAGAGUUGGUUUCACAUACACAUGAAGUUUCUAUAAUUAACUAACUUUUAAGUUCAGUUUGGUUUAAACUUGUAUUUACCCAUGGUAAUUCAUUUAAAUUUCAAUUCAUGCUAAUAUAUUAAUUUCAAUGAACUUCUGUAUUUGUGUACAGGUGGCAAUUUGGGCAAACUACAUUUCACACAUCAAUGUAACUGUCAAAAAGUUUUUUUUUUAUUAUCAGUUUGUUCUAAACUUUUGUUUGUUUACUAAGGAUGAAAUUGCUUUGUAAUUUAAGUUGUUGGUGUUAGAUUCAUGCCAAUAAUGUAUUUGAACAAACUAGUAUUUUUGUUUAUUGCUGGCAGUUUAUAGUAGAAGAGUUUUAACACAUACAAUGUUGUAGUGUUAAAUUGACUUGUGUGCUAUUGAUUAAUAAAAAGGCAAACAAUUUGAAAGUAAUUUUUCGUGUGAUUUAUUUAUUAAUAUAAUUUGGGCAAGAUUAGGCUGAGUUAUGGCUCAGUUUUGGAAGUUCUGGUUAAAUGCUGGUUUUAAUUUGGUUGACCUAUGGCUGAGAACUGGUACCGAUGUUAGAAGGUUUGGGCCAAUUAUGGGCUAUUAUAUGGCAGGGACAUGGGCCAGUUGUGGCUCAUGUGUGGCCUUUGUCUGUAAUUCAGAACUGGGCCACUGUAGGGCCGUCAUU